AUUAGGCCCCCAGUGUAAUGUAUCGCAGAAUACCUUGAGCGGGAGCGUACGGGACCCUCUCGUGUCGAGAAGAAAGGGUGCACCAAAGAAACUUCGAAGUAAAAGCCCGUUGGAGUCGAGUUCGAAGAAAGUAAAGGCAACAUCAACAUCGAGCAAAGGAAAGAGACCAAAUUCGAGUCAGAGUGCUACUCCAGUUGGUACACAAGAACUUCAGGCGUCCCAACAUUAGCAUGAAAAAUUCAGAAAGAAAAUCUUUUGCCUCUUAAGUUUUAUCAAUUGAGGAAAAAUUUUAUGCAUGUCCAUAGUGGACUAUUUGGUUUUGGCCAGGUAGAAUAAUAUGCAGAAUCAAAACUUGCUAUUUCGUGCCUGUAGAAAUAAGAAUUGGUUUGAUAAGAAACUUGCGUGAUUUUAAGUGAACAAAUCUCAAGACCUGUGUUUUGCUUA